GUAUUUAAAUUCAAUUAAUUUGGUGAAAGUUGAAUUUUAUACUGUGGAUUAAGAAAAGAAUAUUAAACGCUCAAAUAGUUUAAAAAUCAAAUUCAACUUAUUAAAAAUUAAAAAAAGUUGUGUGCCAGUUCAACUUAAACAUAGUAGCUGAAAACUUCUUUUAAGUUUCUAUAGCAGUGAAGUGGUCGUCGCCAACCAGCAGAUGCAUUCCACCAUCAACCUGCUAAUUAUCAAUCUAGCCAUUUCCGAUAAACUCUGCUUGGGUGGCCAUUGUGACAUCGGCCAUACCCGUGGCGUUAUCGCACUCCAUUCAACUAUACUAUUUCAAAGGACGCAAUUACACAGCGUGUGACUUUUCAUCGCACGAGCUCUCUUUUGCCGCGUCAUCAUUCGUUACACCACUAACGCUGAUUUUCUUCUUGUACAUGUGCCUCGCCUAUGGAAGAGCACGCCCGGCUGUAAGCCAUCGGCAGAAUCAAGAUGAAAAAUUAUUACGGAGACGGUGACCUCUCACAAGGAGGAAAGUGUCGGAAUUUUUUAGACUGCUCCAGUAUCGUGUAUAACAGCACUGAAUAAUGCAAAUCAAUUUAGGGGAUUGUGACAACAUCGUAUGUCAAGGUCAACCAAGGUCAACAACGUGAAUAGUUGAAAUCAUUCAUCCUUUCCAGCCAACUGAAGUGUGAAAUGUGUGAGACGGCUGCACUUCUGUUUUGUGUGAUCCCUAUGACUGAUUUGACUCGUGAUAUUGAUACGACUGAUAAAACUUGCGAAGGAUUAACUGAGUUCGGUGUAUAUUAUCAUAUCAAAAUCAAUCUGUACUACAUAUUCAGAGGAGUUCUUCACCGACAAGCAGCUAUUAGGACUUAAGGAAUGUUUCCAGAACCUUCAUCGUUGUUCCAGCACCGCCAAAGCAGCCUCGUGUUUUAUAUUUGGACAAUGCUAUAGCGAAUUGAGAACCGUUAUAUUCAUUAUUUUUUAAAGAAAUUUAUUUCAGUUGAUUUUGAGCGCAGAAGUUACUAGAACUGAAAAUUUAACAAGCCACUGCUGCAUUCAUAUACUUUUUACUCACGUCUGUCCAAUGUAGUGUAAUUCCCCACUAUUUCAUUUUCAUUUUUAUUUUCUUUAUCUUAUUCACACGUAUCACUACUCUUUGGUCGUAAUAAAUUCUAUGCCUAAAGAGGUUUAUUUUGAGACCGCCGGAAUCCAAGAGCAUUACAGCUUUCAGGCUUACAAUAUUUAUUACGGACAUUUUAUAUUUAUACAACUGAAGCAAUCAUAUAAUAAAGCGAAAAGGAAAAAAAAUUAAUAUAAAAUGUGGAAAAAAAUAUUCUAAAGGAUUACUAAAUUCAAUUCACUGUUUAAUAAACACCUUGACGUAAUCCACACACAUACACGUAUAUUUAAAUGACAUGGCUUCUUAACAGUAGACUUUGACAUUAUAUCAAGUCGCUAACUACUACACCUCAUAUCGUACUGCAUAUGUCGGUUUCAUAUAGAAACUAUAAUUCCACAAAACCAAAUCUCAGAUCAAAGCAACAAAAACCAAUUUUGAACUUAACCACCUGAGGUGAAACUAACUUACGUCUAAUCAAUGUGAGGUAGUAUGCAUUUUCAUAGAUGUUGUUGCUUCGGAGUCAGAUGUGUCAAAUUCGAAAUCACCUGCCAUUAAAAUGCACAAUUGCACACCAACUAUAUUGCACUGCAGUCAGUAGGCUGAAACUUUCAUUCAUUCAGUCGUGUAUAAUCAUAUAUUCACCUACGUACUAUAUAUCUCAAAAUACUAAUUUGAGUUCAACAAUAUUUGGUGUGAUUUAUUAACAAUAUCUGUCAAAAUAUGAUGUGCUUGUCACAGAAACUGUGUUUUCAAUCCAAUUUUGGAACUAACGCUGUAGCCUGGUUAGUUAUUAUGAUGAUUGUGAUUCAGACCGAAUUGACUUUCCUAGUUGGUUUACGAUUUAUUGCUGUAGUUAUUAAUUGGCUUUGUUGGAACUGAACAGGUGACUUGAUUGUCUGACACAUGCAACUACUACUGAUUACUAAACUUUUUCUAAAUCAGUAAGUCAUCACCGUCCAAUAUUCCCAUGAAUGCAUUCAGCUUUAAAUUAUACAAAUGAGCAAUGAAAGCGGUACGCAAAAUGUUGCUCAUACGCCAGAGCGAGCAAUAUUCAUUGAAAAUCGCAAGUCCCUUAGGACGCACCUUCAUUACAAAUACUUCGAAUUUUCACGUGGAUUAUGCAGACGGAUUUGAUUUUUAAUCAGACAAUUGAAAAAGGCCUUUCUUGAAAGAAUGAUAAAUUUAAUGUUAAUACUAAUCAAAGAUUUAAUUAAUAUAUUCCGGAUGUUUGUGGAGAAAAGGGAAUAUUAUUUCAUUUAUGUAAAAUUAUACUCACUAACUAACACCGCGGAAAAAUAAAAGAUCAUAUACGGAUAUGUGUACGAAUGUCCAAUUAAGAGAAUGUUAAAAAUAAAGUACAUAGUACACUCGAGCUUAAAAUUCGAAAACUAUUAAUUAGUUGGUGAGGUUUUUUGUAUGAAUUGCUCUAAUGGAUUAUAUUCACCAUAUACACUUUUGAACUGAUAAUUUUAUAUGCAAAGAUGGAGUUACUCGCUUAUUAAACCACUAUUUAUUUUAACAUAAUUCAAUUUCACUGUCAAAUUAAUUGAACUAAAUUUGAUAUUUUAAUAUUUUGGUUAACGAAUUGUGGUCCUAAGCAAAUACUCAAAACUUGUUUUAUGAUUCGCAGCUAAAAUAAUUUUCUAAAAUCCCAUGGAGGCAAACAUUCCGCCUGAUAUGAAUUGAACAUUAAAGCAAAUCAAUAUUUGAACAACUAUAAAGCACAUGUACAUACAUUGAUAUUCAAUCUGUAUGUCCACAAAUAUACAUAUUUACAAAAGGGUAGAAAUGCACACCGGAAAAUGUAAUUAGAAAGGUAUUAAAUCUUAUUUAUAAAUAGACAUCUGCGUAAGGAUGUGUUUCGCAUGUGCGUCAAUAGAAUUAAUUACUUUGUUGUUAGUGACACGAACAUAAAUAGGGCUAUUUAACAAAUUUCUCUUUUCACUUGGAGAGACUAAUAUUCUGAAAAUUUCCGAAAUCAGCAUUUAAAUUGACAAAUUAAAAAUACAUUUCAAAUUAUUUUAUAUUUGUAAAAAUAGUAGACAGAAAGUACAGAAACGAAGAUUCGUAAAAGUUCACAAACCUGGAUCUCCUGUUUCUGUAAAACUAUUUUCACAACUUUUUUCUAAAUGUCAGCUGUAAAUAUGGAACAAUUGGCGGAAGCUGUUUGGUUGUUUAUACAUAUUAAAUGAGUAAAAAUAAAUAUAUCAAAUGACAAAUGAAUGUACAUAUAUCCUGCUAAAAUAAAUAUAAAAAUUAUAUUAUAAAGCAUUUUUUAUUUUUCUAGUCAAGCAUUGAAGUUUUUGUCUUAUUUACAGAAUACACUUGAAGGAAUAAGUACAUUAGCUGUUUAAAUCUGGGCUAACAAAUCAUACUGCAUCAUAUCGUAACAUUUGUGGAUUAUAUGAUACAUAUUCUCUUUGUAUAAGUACAUAUGUAACAAAUAAAACAGGAAUCAGAAGACCUUGCAUAUAGGUUAAAGUGAAAUUGAUUGUGAUAUUUAUAUGAUACUAGUACAAACUUGAUAAGCGUGAAAUGACCUAAAAGUUAAACUUAUUAAAAUAAAAUUGAAAAACUCAA